UACGUAGGGUGCGAGCGUUAAUCGGAAUUACUGGGCGUAAAGCGUGCGCAGGCGGUUCGUUAAGUCAGAUGUGAAAGCCCCGGGCUCAACCUGGGAACUGCAUUUGAAACUGGCGGGCUUGAGUAUGGCAGAGGGGGGUGGAAUUCCGCGUGUAGCAGUGAAAUGCGUAGAGAUGCGGAGGAACACCGAUGGCGAAGGCAGCCCCCUGGGCCAAUACUGACGCUCAGGCCCGAAAGCGUGGGGAGCAAACAGG
rnacentral:rRNA from 1 species